rnacentral:rRNA from 1 species
CAAAGGUUUGGUCCCAGCCUUACUAUCAACUUUCUCUAAACCUACACAUGCAAGUAUCAGCCCGCCCGUGAGGACGCCCUUUCACCUUUCCCAGGCUAAGGAGCCGGUAUCAGGCACUAACCCGCCCACAACACCUAGUCCAACCACACCCACAAGGGUCUUCAGCAGUGAUUAAUAUUGUUAAUAAGUGCUAACUUGAACCAGUUAUAGAGAAGAGAGCUGGCCAACUCGGUGCCAGCCGCCGCGGCUAAACCGCACGAGCUCAAGUUGAUAAUUCUCGGCGUUAAGCGUGAUUAAGGAUUUAUUCAAUUAGGGCAAAACCUUAACUUAGCCGUGACAAGCUUGUUAUCAAGAAAGACAAAACGAAAGUUGCUCUAACCUUCUUCCUGAAUACACGACAGUAGGA